rnacentral:rRNA from 1 species
AUUGAACGCUGGCGGCGUGCCUAAUACAUGCAAGUCGAACACAGUGGGGACGGGUGAGUAACACGUGGGUAACCUCCCAUCAGAGGGGAUAACACUUGGAAACAGGUGCUCAACCGAUACUGCUGGCUGGACCCGCGGUGAAUUAGCUAGUUGGUGGGGAAACGGCUCACCAAGGCAACGAUGCAUAGCCGACCUGGGAGGGUGAUCGGCCACACUGGGACUGAGACACGGCCCAGACUCCUACGGGAGGCAGCAGUAGGGAAUCUUCGGCAAUGGACGAAAGUCUGACCGAGCAACGCCGCGUGAGUGAAGAAGGUUUUCGGAUCGUAAAACUCUGUUGUUAGAGAAGCGGUAUCUAACCAGAAAGCCACGGCUAACUCCGUGCCAGCCGCCGCGGUAAUA